GAACCUUUGCAGAUUUCCUCACCAAAAAAUGAACCUCGACAUCAUUUUUAUAUUUACAGAUAUCAUCAAUAAGCCAAUGAUCCUCAAGCGGCUCACCAUCACAAACGACCUCUUGCUCAUCAAGGUCAUCAAACUCCCUCUCCUUCUUAGCAACCUGUUGUUUCACAUACCCAACAUCUCUCCCUCGCUCCACAGAAAAGGUAUAUUCUUUAUCGCUAGCAGUCUUAACCUUUAUAACCUGGAGAUCAGAAAGCCUAAGAACCAAAUGCAGAACAUUCCCAUCAGUUACACCAUAGUCACGGAUAAGAGAAUUGCUCCUUGAUAGCUCUCGGCCUCCACAGACCAGCUUUUGGUUCUUUACAACAAACCCUUUACAUGACUGAAUCCGUAGCUUCACAUAUUCAAUGGAAUCAGACUCUAAAACACGCAUUGGGCUCAUAGAGCCCCCAACAGAGAGAAAUAUCAAGAUGUACUCGGGAGUGGUUGGGCAUUCACAUAAUCAGAAGGAAGUGUGGAACCCGUGUGAAUUGGACUGAGAGCAACACCAGCAGACGACAUUUUUUUUUUCCCUUCGUUUUUUCUACACUGAUAUUUCGAUAAUUGAUUUGGAUUUUAAGGGAGUUCAAAUUAGAAGCUAUACAGGAAUCACAAGAAAUUAGACAUGUUUGUAUUGUUUAUGACCAUCUAAUUACAACAUAGAUGAUC
rnacentral:misc_RNA from 1 species